CUGCUGCCUCCCGUAGGAGUCUGGUCCGUGUCUCAGUACCAGUGUGGGGGACCUUCCUCUCAGAACCCCUAGACAUCGUCGCCUUGGUGGGCCGUUACCCCGCCAACAAGCUAAUGUCACGCAUGCCCAUCCGUCUCCGGAGUCGCCUCCUUUGGCCGAAAGAAGAUGCCUCCCCUCGGCCACAUGCGGUAUUAGGCCGGAUUUCUCCGGGUUAUCCCGCUGAAACGGGCAGGUUGCAUACGCGUUACUCACCCGUGCGCCGGUCG
rnacentral:rRNA from 1 species